rnacentral:rRNA from 1 species
GAUGAACGCUGGCGGCGUGCCUAAUACAUGCAAGUCGAGCGAACAGAUGAGGAGCUUGCUCCUCUGACGUUAGCGGCGGACGGGUGAGUAACACGUGGAUAACCUACCUAUAAGACUGGGAUAACUUCGGGAAACCGGAGCUAAUACCGGAUAAUAUAUUGAACCGCAUGGUUCAAUAGUGAAAGACGGUUUUGCUGUCACUUAUAGAUGGAUCCGCGCCGCAUUAGCUAGUUGGUAAGGUAACGGCUUACCAAGGCAACGAUGCGUAGCCGACCUGAGAGGGUGAUCGGCCACACUGGAACUGAGACACGGUCCAGACUCCUACGGGAGGCAGCAGUAGGGAAUCUUCCGCAAUGGGCGAAAGCCUGACGGAGCAACGCCGCGUGAGUGAUGAAGGUCUUCGGAUCGUAAAACUCUGUUAUUAGGGAAGAACAAAUGUGUAAGUAAUUAUGCACGUCUUGACGGUACCUAAUCAGAAAGCCACGGCUAACUACGUG